GCACUUUCCUGGCCCUUUUGUCCUCUGGUAUCCCACUUGUGGAGACACCAGAGACAAUUUAAAAGCAAACACAGCGCAAGCAUGUUAUUAAAUUUGCUUGCGCUGCGCAGAACAAAUUCGGGGCCUUUUUCUAAUGCCAGAGCUCUUCAGCGGGGCUCUGGGCAUUGAACCAACAUGCUCACUUUGAGAGGGGGCGUGCUUGUCAUUAGUGAUGACAAAACACAUACUCUCUGGCCCCGCCCCCUUCUUAGGGGGCCGCUCUGAUUGAAAAAUGCCCGGGCCUAAUUUUUUUCCCAGUCCGGCCCUGCUUUCAGUCAAAAUUAUGAAGAUGUGUGUGUGUAUCUGUGUGUGUUUAUUUGUGUUUAUAUGUACUUGUGUAUACUUGUACAUAUGCAGUAAGUGUGUGUGUGUGUGUGUAUGCUGGAUAUAGGCCUUCAUGCAUAUCCUGUAACUCUUGGAUGGGAAGUCAUGCAUUUGUUAUAUUAAUACUCCCCCCUUCUAGCACCAUCUUCUGCACUGUUUGCUUUUUUUUUUUUUUUUUCUCUCUCUUCCCCCUCACUCUCUGAUCUUUGCAUAAGAUAUUUACGACCCUCUGCAAGAAUGGUGUCUAUGUUCUAUCAAACAUGUCUUAUAUGCACUCAUGUCUCUUUAACAACUAUGUAACAACUCAACUUUGAAUUUGAUGUGUUGCAUUGUUCAGAAAUGCUUCAGACUUGAAAAAGGGAGGUUAUACAUGGAGCUUUCAUCAGAACAGGUAACAUGUAACACAUGUGCAGACAAGAGAAUAUAUACCCCAGAUCCCUCCAAAACAAACUGAACAAUCAAAUUAAAUUGACCCCUUAAGGACGGAGCCAAAUGUACACGUUGUGAACAAAACACAAUGUAAACAAAACCUGGCAUUUGCGCUACAUGUCUGUCCAACCGUAAUUCACCUCUUUCAUAGUAAAUGCCCCCACCCUUAUUAUAUAUCCAUUAUGGCCAAAGUUAGUGUUAGUAUUUGUGUGUGAAAAAUGCCAAAAACGCCAAUUUUGGCCAGUGUUUGUGAUUAAGUGGCUACUAAAAAAGACUGGACAUACCCUGUUUGCAAUACCUUGGGUUGUCUACUUUUGCAAAUGGUAUGCAAUCAUGGGGGUAAUUUUCAUAGGGUCUCAAAGGCAACGUAACCAAUCUGGCAAAUUUUAACCCCUUAAGGACUGGACCUUUUUUGCGAUGUUGUACAUUUGCGACCAGGCAUAUUUUUACACUUUUGUGGUGUUUGUGUUUGGCUGUAAUUUUCCGCUUUCUCAUUUACUGUUCCCAUACAAAUUAUAUAUUGUUUUUUUCAGGACAAAAGGGC